rnacentral:lncRNA from 1 species
GGGAGGGGAGGGGGAAGGGGCGGAGGCUGAACCGUUGGCAUCCUGGCUUUGCUGGUUCCCAGUUGUGACCUUGGACAAGUUACUUUACUUUUCUGAUUCAAUGUCUUUGUAAAAUAAAGAUAAAGCCAGCAGGGCUGAUUUACAACUCAGCGACUGCAGAGGCGGACCCCACGUUCAGCACACUCUGCGGCGGCGUGGUAAAUGCCCUCCAACUGGAAGUUGGGGCACUGGCUUCGCCCGACCGCGGCGGCGGAGCAGGCCUUGGCCAGACGCGGUGCUGCCACCCAGCGGUCCCCAGCGGAGUCGCUCUGCGCGUCCGUCCCUUAGGGGCUGGAGAUGGGAGGACAGUUCAGAAAAGUUCAGAGACUGCCUAAGAAGGUGCUCCGGGGAUAGAAGUAGAAAGGAGCAGAGAAGUCAUCUUGUUGUCGUGUUAUUUAUUCUACCGAGGGGGAAAAAUGCCACCCUGAGAAGCAAAGUGACUCCUGGGAGAGGCUGCUGGUCACUCCUGGUUCAGGACAAUGAGCUGCUUGCAAAAUCAUUCCCUUCGUUUUGCCCCACAAUGAAGCCUCACAAGCUCUCUAGAUCUGACUGGCUAUUCAAGGGAAGGACAGAUGGAACAGCGGAGGAGGCUGUCUUAACUUCUGAGGUCUGCUCUUCAGUGCCAUUUCUAACCUCUCAGACACUGACCUAAGCUAAGGACAAUAUUUGUGCUUUUCUAAGAAGGUGGUAAAAUAUUUGCACUUGGAAAUACAGAGCGAUAACACUUUAAUGUGGACUAACCUUAUCGGGAUUAGGUAAAUACAGCCAAAGCAAAACAAAAAGUAUUUUAGAAACUGGGACCAACGCAAACAAAUGUAUAGAAAACACUUUUGAAGGGCACCUAGUUCUAAUUAACAUUUGUAUUUAUGAAUGACCUUAGUUAUCGCCCCUAAAUAAAGUAUUUGUUGUACACUGCAGAGAGAGUCAGUGGCCCCACCCUUCCACAGGUCACAAAGUUUUGCAUUUCUGUCAAAGUAGCUGGACUGCGGAGCAGCUUUUAAUCAGAUAUAUGGACCACCACUGGAAAAUCAGACCCAGGUUCCUUUUCUAACCCUUAAUGCUGAGCUGGGUGACAUUCACACUCUGCCCCCAAUCCUGAUGUCAAAGACUAAGAUUUUUUUUUUUUUUUUUGGUUUGGUACCGGGCAUUGAACUCGGGACCUGUCACUUGCGAGGCAGGUGGCAGAACCACUGAGCUAAAUCCCCGGCCCUAAGAUAUUUUUAAAAAUGUGUUAAAAACACAUAACACGAAAUGUACGAUCAUAACCAUCUUGCAGAUUGCUAGAACUUCACCAUCGCUGCAUAACGGAAAGCCUACCCCUUAAGGGACAAGUGCCCAUCUGCUGGUCCCCCUUCCUGGACAGUCAUAGUCUCCUUUUUCUUUCAAUGAGUUUGGUUCCUUUAGAUACUGAAUGUGUGUGAAGUCAUGCAGUCUUUGUGUUUUUGUGGCUGGCUUAUUUCAUUUAGCCAAAGCCCCUAUGACAUGUGAUGUGCAAGUGAAUGGCUGAGGGCUGGGUCCUGGCUGACGUUCCCAGAAAUGGGUGCCAUACUAGAAAAAUCUACUUGUAAAAGGGGAAAAAUAGCACAUUGGAUUACAUGUGAUCAGGCAUCAUGG